GAUGAACGCUAGCUACAGGCUUAACACAUGCAAGUCGAGGGACCGGCGCACGGGUGAGUAACACGUAUCCAACCUGCCCUUUACUCGGGGAUAGCCUUUCGAAAGAAAGAUUAAUACCCGAUAUAAAGGAUGGGGAUGCGUUCGAUUAGGUUGUUGGUGAGGUAACGGCUCACCAAGCCUUCGAUGGAUAGGGGUUCUGAGAUGAAGGUCCACUAGAAUGGAACUGAGGCACGGUCCAAACUCCUACGGGAGGCAGGAGUAAGGAAUAUUGGGGAAGAGGCGCUAGCCUGAACCAGCCAAGUAGCGUGAAGGAUGAAGGGUUAGUGGUCGUAAACUUCUUUUAUAGAAGAAUAUGUAUUAUAUGAAUAAGGAUCGGCUAACUCCGUGCCAGCAGCCGCGGUAAUUC
rnacentral:rRNA from 1 species